UUCCGGUUGAUCCCGCCGGAGGCUACCGCUAUUGGAGUUCGAUUAAGCCAUGCGAGUCGAGAGUCUUAGGGACUCGGCGUACCGCUCAGUAACACGUGGGUAACCUGCCCUAUGCUGGGGAAUAACCUCGGGAAACUGAGAAUAAUACCCCAUAGUUCACUACGCCUGGAACGGUGAGUGGAUGAAAGCUCCGGCGGCAUAGGAUGGGCCUGCGGCGUAUCAGGUCGUAGGGGGUGUAACGUACCCUCUAGCCAUCGACGCGUACGGGUGUUGGGAGACAUAGCCCGGAGAUGGAUUCUGAGACACGAAUCCAGACCCUACGGGGUGCAGCAGGCGCGAAAACUUGGCAAUGCGAGAAAUCGUGACCAGGGAACUCCAAGUGGCUGGGGUAAGACCCAGUCUUUUCAUGACUCUUCAAAGGUCUUGGAAUAAGAGGUGGGUAAGGACGGUGCCAGCCGCCGCGGUAAUACCGGCGCCUCAAGUGGCAGUCGAUUUUAUUGGGCCUAAAACGUCCGUAGCCUGUUUGGUACAUUCGUGGGUAAAUCAACCAGCUCAACUGGUUGAAUUCUGCGAGCACGGCCAGACUUGGGACCGGGAGAGGUGUGGGGUACGCUCAGGGUAGGGGUAAAAUCCUGUCAUCCUGAGCGGACCACCUGUUGCGAAGGCGCCACACUAGAACGGAUCCGACGGUCAGGGACGAAGCCUAGGGGCACGAACCGGAUUAGAUACCCGGGUAGUCCUAGGUGUAAACGCUGUGGACUUGGUGUUGGGGAUGAUCCGAUCAUUCUCAGUGCCGAAGCGAGGGUGAUAAGUCCACUGCCUGGGAAGUACGGUCGCAAGGCUGAAACUUAAAGGAAUUGGCGGGGGAGCACCGCAACCUGAGGAUUGCGCGGUUUAAUUGGAAUCAACGCCGGA
rnacentral:rRNA from 1 species